rnacentral:rRNA from 1 species
CGGGACGGGUGAGUAAUGUCUGGGAAACUGCCCGAUGGAGGGGGAUAACUACUGGAAACGGUAGCUAAUACCGCAUAACGUCGCAAGACCAAAGAGGGGGACCUUCGGGCCUCUCGCCAUCGGAUGUGCCCAGAUGGGAUUAGCUAGUAGGUGGGGUAAUGGCUCACCUAGGCGACGAUCCCUAGCUGGUCUGAGAGGAUGACCAGCCACACUGGAACUGAGACACGGUCCAG